AUUCCAGCUCCAAUAGCGUAUAUUAAAGUUGUUGCGGUUAAAAAGCUCGUAGUUGGAUUUCUGCUUGGGACAACCGGUCCGCCCUCUGGGUGAGUAUCUGGCUUGGCCCGGGCAUCUUCUUGGGGAACGUUACUGCACUUGACUGUGUGGUGCGGAGCCCAGGACCUUUACUUUGAGGAAAUUAGAGUGUUUCAAGCAGGCAUUUGCCUUGAAUACAUUAGCAUGGAAUAAUAAGAUAGGACCUCGUCCCUACCUUGUUGGUUCGUAUGGAUGAGGUAAUGAUUAAUAGGGAUAGUCGGGGGCAUUCGUACUUAACUGUCAGAGGUGAAAUUCUUGGAUUUAUGGAAGACGAACAUCUGCGAAAGCAUUUGUCAAGGAUGUUUUCAUUG
rnacentral:rRNA from 1 species